AUAGUUAUUAUUGGAUGGCAUCAUUUGAUAGUUAAAACUGAGGUGGUAUAGGAUGGGCAUGCGUCUGAUUAGUUAGUUGGCGGGGUAAUGGCCCACCAAGACGAUGAUCAGUAGGGGGUUCUGAGAGGAAGAUCCCCCACACUGGCACUGAGAUACGGGCCAGACUCCUACGGGAGGCAGCAGUAGGGAAUAUUGGUCAAUGGAUGCAAGUCUGAACCAGCCAUGCCGCGUGCAGGAAGAAGGCCUUCUGGGUUGUAAACUGCUUUUGCCAGGGGAUAAAAUUUCCAUGCGUGGAAAACUGAAGGUACCUGGUGAAUAAGCCACGGCUAACUACGUG
rnacentral:rRNA from 1 species